rnacentral:misc_RNA from 1 species
GUAAAUCUGUUCUUGAUAUCAGCUUCCCUGCGACCAAGCCUUGGAGUGUCCACAGUCAGAGCAAUGGCUUUGAAACCAGCCUUUUCAGCUCUUCUCACAAGUUGUGCCACAACAUUCCUAUCCUUGUACACAUAUAGCUGGAAGAACCGAAUGCCAGGUCCAGUGGAAGCAACUUCUUCCACACUGGAAGUAGCCCAUGAGGAAAGAGUCAUAAUUGUGCCUGCUGCAGACGCUGCUCUGGCUGUUGCAUACUCCCCUUCAGGGUGAGCCAUCUUUUGCAUGGCAGUUGGAGCAAUCAUAAUGGGCAUUGAAAUUUUGAAACCCAACACAGUUGUUGACAUGUCUAUCUUACUCACAUCAAUAAGAAUACGGGGACGGAACAAAAUCCUGGAAAAUGCAUUUCGAUUCUCCUUCAGGGUCCACUGGUCCUCUGCACCAGAUGCAUAGUAGUCAUAAACCAUCUUUGGCAACUUUUUCUUGGCGAUCUCCUGAUACUCCGUAACAUUGGUUACUUCCUCCAUCUUUAGCAGUAUUUCACGCUCCCCUUCCAAACUUCCUUGGACUCCCAAGCUGUGUUGAGA